GAUGAACGCUAGCUACAGGCUUAACACACGCAAGUCGAGGGGUAACGAGAGGGAAGCUUGCUUUCCUUGUCGACGACCGGCGCACGGGUGAGUAACGCGUAUCCAACCUGCCCCCAACUAGGGAAUAACCUUGCGAAAGUAAGACUAAUACCCUAUAAUUUCCUCAGAUGUCAUCUGACGAGGAAUAAAGAUUUAUCGGUUGUGGAUGGGGAUGCGUCUGAUUAGCUUGUUGGCGGGGUAACGGCCCACCAAGGCAAUGAUCAGUAGGGGUUCUGAGAGGAACGGCCCACACCGUGUAACUGAGACACGGUCCAAAUGCCUACGGGAGGCAGCAGUGAGGAAUAUUGGUCAAUGGGCGUAAGCCUGAACCAGCCAAGUAGCGUGCAGGAUGACGGCCCUAUGGGUUGUAAACUGCUUUUAUACAGGAAUAAAGUUAGCCACGUGUGGUUAUUUGUAGGUACUGUAUGAAUAAGGACCGGCUAAUUCCGUGCCAGCCGCCGCCGUAA
rnacentral:rRNA from 1 species